GAUUGGAAAAGCAGGGACACCUUUUUCAUUAUAACUUGUUUCAAAUGGCAGAGAAUAUCAAUCACCUCUCUCUUAGCUGGAUCAAAGAGAGUAUUCGACUAUCUCAUGUCGAGUAGUGUGAAGAAGAAAUAGGUGGUACCGGUACACUAUAGUCAAGUCAUCAAAAACUACUAACACAUGAAAAAAGAGUUUGACAUUCCAAGUCUUAUGAAUUCCUUCUUUGAACCUUGAAACUACACAUUCAAACCUAGAAAAUAUGAAGAUGAGAGUUAUAAGAGUCUUGUAAAUCUAAGCAUCGAUUAUCUACCAUCUCUCUCGAAUUUUCUAAGCCACGUUACUUUCCUAUAAAUAGGAGGAUUUGUGAGGAGCUUCAUCACCCCAUCCAACAGAAGGAAUCCAAGAGUGAUAGUGAGAUAAUGUAUACCAUCUUUAAGAGAAAGAGAUUCUUAAUUCAAUCAUAGUUUGAUGAAAGUUGAGAGAUAUUGUAUACCAUCUGAGUCGGGUGAGAUUGAAAGAUAUUCUCUUGUAACAAGAAAGCUUGUAAUCCGAGUUUUCUAUCGUGGAAAUAUUUUAUUGGACUAGGUACCAUGGUUUUUUCCUUUCACAUUGAGAAGGGUUUUCACAUCAAAAAAUU
rnacentral:lncRNA from 1 species